rnacentral:piRNA from 1 species
UUUGCUGUAAAAGUCUUUUGACAGGAAA